rnacentral:tRNA from 1 species
GCGGGUGUAGCACAAUGGUUAGUGCGCCUGCCUUCCAAGCAGGAUAUGACGGUUCGAUCCCGUUCACCCGCU